rnacentral:rRNA from 1 species
UACGUAGGGCGCAAGCGUUAUCCGGAAUUAUUGGGCGUAAAGAGCUCGUAGGCGGUUUGUCGCGUCUGCCGUGAAAGUCCGGGGCUCAACUCCGGAUCUGCGGUGGGUACGGGCAGACUAGAGUGAUGUAGGGUAGACUGGAAUUCCUGGUGUAGCGGUGAAAUGCGCAGAUAUCAGGAGGAACACCGAUGGCGAAGGCAGGUCUCUGGGCAUUAACUGACGCUGAGGAGCGAAAGCAUGGGGAGCGAACAGG